rnacentral:tRNA from 3 species
GGAGACGUGGCCGAGAGGCUGAAGGCACUCGUUUGCUAAAUGAGCGUACCCCCAAAAGGGUACCGAGGGUUCGAAUCCCUCCGUCUCCGCCA